CCUACGGGCUGCAGCAGGCGCGAAAACUUUACAAUGCGGGAAACCGUGAUAAGGGAACCCCGAGUGCCCGUAAAUUCGGGCUGUCCAUCAGCGUAAAUAACUGGUGAAGAAAGGGCCGGGCAAGACCGGUGCCAGCCGCCGCGGUAAUACCGGCGGCUCGAGUGGUGGCCACUAUUAUUGGGCUUAAAGCGUCCGUAGCUUGGUUGUUAAGUCUCUUGGGAAAUCUACCGGCUCAACCGGUAGGCGUUCAGGAGAUACUGGCAAUCUAGGGACCGGGAGAGGUGAGAGGUACUCCAGGGGUAGGAGUGAAAUCCUGUAAUCCUUGGGGGACCACCUGUGGCGAAGGCGUCUCACUAGAACGGCUCCGACAGUGAGGGACGAAAGCUGGGGGAGCAAACCGGAUUAGAUACCCUAGUAGUC
rnacentral:rRNA from 1 species